rnacentral:sRNA from 1 species
AAUGUGUCCCGCUGUGAAUUAUGUGCCUACAUAAAUUACCCGGCCAGGAAUUAAUCAUGUUUUAUGCAGGACUGCGGCAAAACCUGGCUAAAGCCACGGUAACGCAGGCAUGGCCUGUUUUAUUUUUUGUUCUGUUGCUUGCCCAUUAGGUUCAGUUCUCUGGCCCGUCCUGGUGCGGAUCUGGGUUUGAGUGCCUCCAGGGGCACUUGGAGUCGGUCCGAAUUUUUGUCUCUGUCUCAGAGAUUGGAGUUGAAAUAGCGCGGGAUGCUGUAUUGGCGCCUUUUCUAGUUUUCAAAAUGGCCAAGGUAAUUGGAAGAAGCAGUCAAAUGUCUGUGUCGCACAUAAGAUUGAAUUUGUUGGUUUUUUCGUAUUGUAGUGUUUCUCCGGCUGUAACGUCAAAUUUUGAGCCUUUCUGUGUUUUUUUUUUCCAAAAAUACAGUAGAAGAAUGUUCAUUUAAGUUCUAUAGACAUCAAAUUAGCAACCAGUUCUGUUAAUAUUGAUGUAUUUAAUUACACGCAAAGAAUAAAAAAAAUACGAAAUUGGAAAAGUAAGGAUUUGGAAAUAAAAAGGAUAAGGAGGAAACCAUUUGAAAUUUUUUUCAAAAAUCUUCAAGUGUUAUCUUUCCAAACUCCAAAUAAAUCUUACUGGGUUGAGUCCACAAGUUUUCAGAUGGCAAUCUCGGAGAUUUUUUAUUUUUUCGAAAGAGAUUUCUGGGACUCCCCUGACUCCCUGGCCCACACCAAAGGUUCUCCCAAGCUUGAACCGCCUCUAAAACUUUAGUGUCGUUGUCCAUGGCGAAUACGUUGUAGUGGCUGCUGUGCUGGAUCCUGCUGAGACCAGUGUAGUUAUUGUUGUUAGCAUGUAGCCCUCUAUAAUUGAUACGUGCUGCACUUGCGCGCAAAGACAAAA